rnacentral:rRNA from 1 species
AGGACGAACGCUGGCGGCGCGCUUAACACAUGCAAGUCGAACGUGAAGCUGGAGCUUGCUCCGGUGGAAAGUGGCGAACGGGUGCGUAACACGUGAGCAACCUGCCCCGAAGACUGGGAUAACACCGGGAAACCGGUGCUAAUACCGGAUACCUUCUUCCGAUCGCAUGGUUGGAUGAAGAAAUGGAUUCCGCUUCGGGAUGGGCUCGCGGCCUAUCAGCUUGUUGGUGAGGUAACGGCCCACCAAGGCGACGACGGGUAGCUGGUCUGAGAGGACGACCAGCCACACUGGGACUGAGACACGGCCCAGACUCCUACGGGAGGCAGCAGUGGGGAAUCUUGCUCAAUGGGCGAAAGCCUGAAGCAGCGACGCCGCGUGCGGGAUGAAGGCCCUCGGGUUGUAAACCGCUUUCAGCAGGGACGAAAUUGACGGUACCUGCAGAAGAAGGCCCGGCAACUACGCGCCAGCAGCCGCGGUAA